GAGAAAGUCAGAAAAAACGCAGGAGCCGGAGACCGUCGGAAAAGGGAGUGAACUGGAGAGAAGUGGCUGAAGCUUCCAAAUGGAAAGAAGGAUAUAAGAAGAGGCUGUUAUUUCUUCCCUUUGUUCCUUUUGCUAUCACCGGGUAAAUGAGAUAAACGGACAGUAGUGGCAAAGUGGAGCAGAAGACAAACUAGGAACUUCCAAAAACAGUCAGUGCUCUCUUUUCAAAUCAUUGGUCUCAUUGAGUACCCCGUGAUAUCAUAAUCAUGAUGUUGAUCUUGCACUUAAACAUCAUUUUGUUCUUUGCCCACAAUAAAGUAUCACCUCCUGGGAGCACUUUGGAAUGGAAAGUUGAACAUUACAGCCACCUUAUGUGCAACGUGUAGUGUGGCUUUUGACAUGGCUUUUGACAUGGAUCCUGAUAUAUCCGUUCUAACUGUUUCACUAUUUUCACUGAUUAAGUUUUACAUGACUUGACAGAUCUGUAAUGGAAUCAUCUGAUAGUAUUGAUUUUACUUAAAGGCAUGCAAAUAGGAUCAUAACUGUAAUGCUCAGGAAGGAACACAUCAAUUUUCUAUCAAAAUAGAUUCCCUGGUGUAGUAUUAAUAUGUUGCAGCACUAAUAGACAGUUCAAGGGAUGAUUUCAAUAAAGAGCACAUGCAAAGAAAAUUGGUUAAA